rnacentral:tRNA from 1 species
AGAGAAAGAGCAUGAAUAUUAUGUGUUUUAUUUACGAUAAAAAGUACCUUUUAAAGGUUUCUCUA